CAAGCAGAUCGGGUGGUCGCGGGCGCGUGAUUCCCGUGGGAAUCGCGCGCCUGAGGAAAGUCCGAACUCCGCAGGGCAGGGUGCUGGGUAAUCCCCAGUGGGGGCGACCCCAAGGAAAGUGCAACAGAGAUGAGACCGCUUGCGCGGGCGAGGCCGCACGAGGUCCGAAAUCGCGUGAGCAAGGGUGAAACGGUGCGGCAAGAGCGCACCAGCGGCCGGGCGACCGGUCGGCUAGGCAAACCCCACCCGGAGCAAGACCAAAUAGGAGGGACAUGAGGUGGCCCGCCUCCCCCUCGGGUACGGUCGCAUGAGGUCCGGGGCGACUCGGAUCCAAGACAGAUGACCACCCUCGACAGAAUUCGGCUUACAGAUCUGGUUGCCUC
rnacentral:RNase_P_RNA from 1 species